rnacentral:lncRNA from 1 species
GUAAAACUGAGCAAAACAUGUUUUUGUUCUUUUUAUUUUCAUUUUCUGAUGUUUUUUAUUUGUAUUUAGUACUGUUGUGUAUACAUUCAGGGUAUCAAAAAGCCCUACACUCCUUUUAAUAUCCUAUUUAACAAAGAAAAACUGUGAAAUUGUGGUAGCAUGAACGCACUGCAAAAGAGCCUUGGUCACAUUCAUGUUACAUCUCAAAAGAGCCUAGGUCAUUUGGGGUUUAAUGCAGCUGGAGCAGUCUGAGUGUUUGGAAGAACCCCAGUUUUUGUCAAACAGUUCUGACAGUUUGAUAGAUAAACAUGGGCUGGUGCGUGUCAUCCAAAGUAUGCAUGAUUUUGUCCCAACAUAGCAAGGAUUAACCUGAGCUGCCUGAGUUUGUUUGGCAUCCAGGGUUAACAUGAACUGCUUGCAGGCAGAACUCUGUAAUACAUUUUGUGGGUCCUACCAGAUCAAAUUUAAGUGCUUGGAUCAAAGAGUUAAGUGCACAUCAGCAAUCUAAAUUAACCAGUUCUCAUAAACUGGUCAUGUUUGCUGGACAGAGAGCCUGAAAUAUAUAACUGAAUGUCAGCCCAGAUCAAGCUGAACUUUUCUUGAAUUUUAUUUGUGAACAGCAUCAGACCUGAUUUAAAGGACCACAAUAGUCACCCAGACUACUUCAGCUCAAUGAAGUGGUCUGGGUGCCAGGUCCAUCUAGGGUUAACCCUGCAGCUGUAAACAGCAGUUUCAGAGAAACUGCUAUGUUUACAUUAGGGUUAAUCCAGCCUCAAGUGGCUGUUUCAUUGAACAUCACAGUGAGAAGACGCUGCUGUCCAUAGGAAAGCAUUGAGAAAUGCUUUCCUAUGGACUGAUUGAAUGCGCGCGUGGCUCUUGCCACGCAUGCACAUUCGGCGGAUGACGCCGGAAGAGGGAGGAGAGUCCCCAGCGCUGAGUGGCGCUGGAGAAAGGUAAGAAUUUAACCCCUUCCUACCCCUUCAGCCCGGUGGAAGUGGGACACUGAGGGUAGGGGGGAACCAAAGACCCUAUAGUGCCAGGAAAAGUUUGUUUUCCUGGCACUAUAGUGGUCCUUUAACCCCUUAAGGACACGUGACAUGUCAUGAUUCCCUUUUAUUCCAGAAGUUUGGUCCUUAAGGGGUUAAACUAGAAGUUCCCACUUGGCCUGCUGUAAGAUUCUCAAUAAUAUCUGUGCGAGUUUAGGCUCUGUGCUUUAAUAAAAUAUUACAGUCUGGUUUAGUCUUUGCACUCUAGUAUCUGGAUUCAUUAACCUAAAGAGACCUAUUUAAUAGCAUUUUUGAUAACAUUUAUUUGGCUAAACUGUGUUUUGUGGGGGAGUUAAAUCUGAUUAUGGUGUAUAACCAAAGCCACUCGUAUAUAAAUUGCCUUUUUGGUGGCAGCUUUUCAUUGUGGUUUUAAGUGUGGGUGAUGUUUAGCUGGAUUUUGCAAUCAUUAUUUUUGGUCUAGUACAGACAUAUGUAUUUUAAACAGUUCACCCCAAAACCAAGUUGCGAGCACGCUUGAAGUAUUGUGGCCCAUGACAGCUACCCAUAGCAUUUAUACGCCAUAAUCACUAUGCUAAAUUAUAGUGAAUAUGGUGCUUAGAGAGUGUCUCUUCAAUUAAUUCUCCUCUCAGUUUACCAUAGCAUUCAACUAGGUGAAAAUAUUCUGAUAUAACACACCAACUCCAUUUUAAAUUAAUAUUCUAGAAUGUACUACUGGAUACAUUAAAGGAGAGCUAUCUGUUUAGUUGAGAAUACACCACCUAAUAAAACAUUGCAAAUCCCCUAUAACUUGUGUCAACUCUUCUUAUUUUUGUGUGAUGCUCAAUUUUGUUUUCUUCAACUCUUUGUUUAUUUAAGACUUGUAUAUAGUGAUAGAUAACAAUAUAGGACAGUUAAAAAAGAGGGAGUAUGUUUCUUUGGUUCCUCUCCACGAGGAACCAAAGACAAACGUAAAGAAGCAUUGUUUGAUCAAGUUUCAAACAUCAGUUAAGGUAUCUAUCUCUUAAAUGUGCUGGGCCAUGGCUCCCUGUGCAGAUGGGAGAGCACUGCAUAAUAUGGAUAGUAAGAAGAGGGUUAAGAGAUAAAAGAGGAGGGGAGUGUUGUGACAUAUGUGCUUAAUGUUUACAAAGGAUAGUGACCAGAGAUAAUUGUAUCCAGGUGGCAAUGUAUGUGGAAGCAAUUGCAGCUCAAUUUCUUCUACUCUUGCACCCAUAGUGAGAUCUUUGACCCCAGCGGUGCAAGACCAGGCCUCUUUGUGAGGGAUUUUUUAGGGGUUCUACAAAAGGAAUAGGUCAAGAUUAAACGAGAACGUUAUCCCUGUGAUUUCUUUAAGUUGACUGGAUAUCCCUCUCCAAGAGGGAGAGAUGUUGGGACAUGACCAAAAUAUACAAUUUUUUUUUUUUUUAAAUGGUGUAUUAAAGAUUUAACAAAUCCAAGGCACAAUGCAAGUAGUGAAACAGACACAUUGUGUUUGUACUUCCAUUUACUACUCUCUCACAACCAUUGAACAACUCUGUUAAGAUGCAAGUUGUGGGAAAGUCUGUUUGCUGGAUGUGGCGAAACUAACCUCGCCACGAAGCAUUGGAGAAGCCUGGUUGCUCGCCUGUUGCCCUUGGACUAUGGCCCCAUGUUUAAAAAGCCUUCUUUUCCCCAGCAGAAAAGGCUUGUUCGUACCUUUCUGUCCGGGGUUCGGUAGAUUCAAUCUACCGAACAAACAACCGAAUGACUGGACCGCCUGUAUUGGGAGUGUGUCGGCAAUUGACCUCCCAGAAGCUGCGGUUAACCGCAGCUUAAUUGACGAAUGCUGGGUGGCCUUUGUUCAUUUGCCGAACAUGUGGCAGUGGCCAUUUUAAAGUCCCAAACGGCCAGCGGUGUUCAGCGCCCAAACUAUGGAACUGGAAACGGACACUUAUUUGCGCGAACACCGCUGAGCCGUCAGCCUCCUUGCUCCUGCAUUCGGUCAUUUAACCAGAUGCCUGUUCAUUCGGUAGUUUAACCGUAUGAAGAGCAAUACCCCAGAUAGCCAUCCCGUGGAGUCUAUUCGUAUGGAGAACAGACUUUGUGAACACUUUGACUCCACGGCGAUUGGACGGUGUGCAUAGGAUCUGAGCCCUUUCAGUACUUUUGUGCGCUCAGAUCCCAGCUAUCUGGGGAUGGGUUACAUGUAUAUAUUUUAUGUGACAAAUGUAACAUGUAUUUUAGGGUUUUAUUGUAACCAUGUGGUUACGGGAGUUUCGCCUCUGUCCUUGGAGAUAAUUGGAUUACUUCACAAUUAUCUCCAGGAUAGAGGGGAGGGAUUGUAAUGUACUGUGGGAGUGUUUUAACCCUGUAUGCCUGUAAUUGGUCAUUUUACAAUUUGUGUCGCAGUCUCCCAUUUGGUCCCCUAGGGGAGUGUCCACCAGGUGGGAGACCUGCAUAAACACUGGGCAGGUAGCCCUCAAUAAACCAGACCACUGCUUGACCCUCAACACGGAGCUCUGUCUCUUCUUUGGGGGGAUUUACUGUAUGCUGUUAGAGACUGAUUGCCAGGAGUGUAAGCCGUUGGGUGCUUUUCCUGUUCGUCUGCUAGCAGCUAUUCGUGAGGUUCCAGUUCGGGAGUUUGGUGUUCUGCAGUAGCUGUGCCUGUAUCUCUGGAAGGGGAAGAUCGACUUAACGGCGGUUUGACCCUUUUAUGCCUGGGGGUGCCGUUACACUGACUGACUGACAUAUGUAAAUGCUGGUUUUGCGGUAGAAGAG